rnacentral:sRNA from 1 species
GUGCAGGGAGUAUGUGAGGUGUGUGUGCAGGUGUGCACUUGUGUGCAGGGGGUGGUGUGUGAGGUGUGCCUGCAGGGGGUGUGUCAUGCCCGGGUGCGUGAGGCUGGCAUGGGGUGUGGAGUGUGUGUUUCAGCUUUUGACCUUUUGGGGUCAGCUCUCUAGGGUGGUGGUCAUCGCUUAAGGUGGACUUGAGAUGUCCCUAGAGGCUCACUCACAGGAUGCCAUGCUGGCUCUUGGGAUGGGCUGUGAGGACUGCAGGUGGGACCUCAGGCCUUUGGCUUCAGGCAGAGCCGGGUUUCCACCUGGGAUCUGCUGUUCCCUUUGUUCCUGGCAGCCUCAGCCUUCUCUGGCACAGUGAGGCCGGUUGGUGAUGGUUGCUGCCUGGAGAGUCAGUGUGAGAGGAGGCUGGUGGCUCCCAGCUGGGUGGCAGUGGUGUCUCUAAGCACAGGUGCUGGUCGCCUAAUGGUGUUGCUUCCUGACCUGCUUGUGCUGUUCGGUUCCUGCAGGCCUCUCCUGCGUUGAGCAACGAGAAGGGCAUGGACGCUGUGUCACCUUGGAAGUCCAGCGCAGUGCCCACUAAACACGCCAAGGUCUUGUUCCGAGCGAGUGGUGGCAAGCCCAUCGCCGUGCUCUGCCUGACUGUGGAGCUGCAGCCCCACGUGGUGGACCAGGUCUUCCGCUUCUAUCACCCGGAGCUCUCCUUCCUGAAGAAGGCCAUCCGCCUGCCGCCCUGGCACACAUUUCCAGGUGCUCCGGUGGGAAUGCUUGGUGAGGACCCCCC